CGGGGCGUGGCGCAGCUUGGUAGCGCACCUGCUUUGGGAGCAGGGGGUCGCAGGUUCAAAUCCUGUCGCCCCGACAA
rnacentral:tRNA from 16 species